rnacentral:snRNA from 13 species
AUACUUACCUAGAAGGGAAGAUACCAUGAUCACGAGGGUGCUUUUCCCAGGACGAGGCUUAUCCGUUGAACUCUGGAUAUGUGGAUCCCUGAGAUUUCCCAAAAUGUGGGAGCUUGACUGCAUAAUUUGUGGUAGUGCGGGAACUGCAUUUGCGCUUUCCCCUA